AGUGAACGCUGGCGGUAGGCCUAACACAUGCAAGUCGAACGGCAGCACAGUAAGAGCUUGCUCUUACGGGUGGCGAGUGGCGGACGGGUGAGGAAUACAUCGGAAUCUACUUUUUCGUGGGGGAUAACGUAGGGAAACUACGCUAAUACCGCAUACGACCUACGGGGGAAAGCAGGGGAUCUUCGGACCUUGCGCGAUUGAAUGAGCCGAUGUCGGAUUAGCUAGUUGGCGGGGUAAAGGCCCACCAAGGCGACGAUCCGUAGCUGGUCUGAGAGGAUGAUCAGCCACACUGGAACUGAGACACGGUCCAGACUCCUACGGGAGGCAGCAGUGGGGAAUAUUGGACAAUGGGCGCAAGCCUGAUCCAGCCAUACCGCGUGGGUGAAGAAGGCCUUCGGGUUGUAAAGCCCUUUUGUUGGGAAAGAAAAGCAGCAGGUUAAUACCCCGCUGUUCUGACGGUACCCAAAGAAUAAGCACCGGCUAACUUCGUG
rnacentral:rRNA from 1 species